AAUAGAAAAUGCCUCCGAUUUCGGUAGGCUGUUUUUCAAAAGAAUCCCUCCAUACGAGCUGUUGUGUUAAAAUCGGCAAGUAAAUCUCAGAGUAUUUUCGACAACUAAACCAGUAAACCAACGUUAAAAAGCCUCAGAAAAUGUGUAACAUGAGAAAGCCCUAAUAUAACUUUCUUGGAAUUGAUUGAAAAUAUGCAAUGCAUUUACCGACAAAGGUAAAAGUUCGUAUAAUCCUUAUCUGCAGACGUAGACAAAUCUUUUUUUUUUUGGAUAUGUAAGGACUUCUGCUUCAUCAUACGCACUCGCUACACAUUUUCUGAUGAGAACCAAAUUCUAUAUAGAUGAAGAUUACCAAACUUUUACCGUCAUCGGCAAUUUAAUCCCCAGUCUGUUUUUUUCAUAAAGGUGUUAAGGAGGCUGUAAACUUUACUGUUAUAAUUCCCUAUAUUCAGCAAUCUACAAUUCUCUCCACAAACCAACUCUCGUUAACAGCUUUUAAUGAUAAAAAAGCUCGAAGCGAUCCUUUAGUUUAUUCUUUGGAAUAAUUGAUGGUUUUCUGUCAAAGUUUUGGCAAGUUUUUUCAUUCGUUUUUGAGAUGUUUUAUAAUUUUUAAGUCGGUUGACAACUCCGCUUUCCAACCGAAUUGACCUUCAACGGGCUACCCGAACCGGAAAUGAAAAAAAUAACUUAAACUCACCUCAUUCCUGAAUCUGAAACCCCACUAAAUUCUUGAAUUCUGGUUGCGCUUAGAUCUUAUAAAAUACCAUCCGAAUGUAAUCGAUUAAUAGCUCAAAAACAAGUAAAAAGACCAUUAAAACAACAAAGACACUUCAAUCUAUUAUUGUUUUAGAGAAACAGUUAAAACCAAGGUUGCGAUCGCUAACGAUUUUUAUUAGCGACGCUAACGCUAACGCUAAUUUCGAAAAAUGUUAGCGUCGCUAAACUUAUUCGUUAACAGAAAAAAGUUAGCGCGCUAGUAGCGGCCGCUAAUAGCGAUCGCUAAUAUUGAAAAAUUUUAACAUUUAACCAAACACAAAACCCAUUAAAAAUUAAACAUUUUGUCCAAUAUAUAUUCCAUAAAGGAAAGAACCCACGUCUACAAUUUUUAUUUUUAUUUUUCGUCUGUAUAACACUGGAGUCUAUAUAUCUGCUCCACUCCAAUGUGUAUAGUAUACCUCUAUAUUGUGGUGCUUGCUUGUAAAUUUGUAUAUUUCGCCUCUCAUUCCAAACGUUAAACGAAUCUCUAUGUUACGUUAUAAUAUAGACUUUACGAUGGAAAUGUAAAAUAUCCAAUUCAUCCAACAGGCACAUUACUCAGAGUUGUGCUUCAACAGCCAUUCUCGUUUUCAUUUUUUUUUCGUUUACCCUUCUCGUAUUCUAUUUAACAUCGUUAAGAGGGCACACUGAUGUCGCGUUAAUAAAGAACGGCUGUUUUGCAGAAAUUAAAACGGCGAAUAGAUCGACUUAUUCUUAGGUUCCUAUUGACUUUUGUCUAUACGUGCUUCUGAUGAUAUGAUAUCAAUUUAUUAGAGAGAAAAAAGCCUCACACGAAUUGAUACAUAAUGCGUUUUCGACGGUGUUUGAUCAUUCAAUCGUAUAAGCACAAGAGGAUGUUAAAUGUGAAUGUGUUGUUUGUCGGA